rfam:Asian citrus Psyllid, Diaphorina citri - Florida Strain, whole genome shotgun sequence.
GCCUAGUUAGCUUAGUUGGUAGUGCGUCUGCCUUGUAAGCGCUAGGCCGUGGGUUCGAUGCCCGCCCGGGGCG